rnacentral:tRNA from 1 species
ACCUGGCUGGCUCAGUUGGUGGAGCAUGUGACUCUUGAUCUCAGUAUUGUGAGCUCAAGCCCCAUGUAGGGUG